CGUCUUCUGUUAACUAAAAAUAGAAGAUAAUGCCUGCCCAGUGAUUGAUAAUUCAACGGCCGCGUUAGCGUGAGCGUGCUAAGGUAGCGUAAUAAACAGCCUUUUAAUUUGAGGCCAGUGAAAGGCAACACGAAGGACUACUUUAUCUAAUAUGACAAAAAAACUUUACCUUUGAGUGAAAAGGCUCAAAUAAUAUAUAAAGACGAAAAGACCCCGCGGAGCUUUACUUUGAACUUAAUACUAACAAAAAAUUAUUACUAAAAGUUUGGUUGGGGCAACCUUGGAACAAGCAAUCUUCCAAUCCACUAACCUUAGAUCAAUAUACAAAAUGCGCUACAGACUAAAAAGAAGCUACCCCGGGGAUAACAGCGUAAUCCAACUUGAAAGUACACAUCGAAAGUUGGGUUUGCGACCUCGAUGUUGGCUUAGGGUAAUCCACAAAGCGCAGCCGCCUUGACAGGAUAGUCUGUUCGACUAUUAUAACCCU
rnacentral:rRNA from 1 species